rnacentral:rRNA from 1 species
GACGAACGCUGGCGGCGUGCUUGACACAUGCAAGUCGAACGGUAAGGCCCUUCGGGGUACACGAGUGGCGAACGGGUGAGUAACACGUGGGUGAUCUGCCCUGCACUUCGGGAUAAGCCUGGGAAACUGGGUCUAAUACCGGAUAGGACCACUGCCUGCAUGGGUGGUGGUGGAAAGCUUUUGCGGUGUGGGAUGGGCCCGCGGCCUAUCAGCUUGUUGGUGGGUGAUGGCCUACCAAGGCGACGACGGGUAGCCGGCCUGAGAGGGUGACCGGCCACACUGGGACUGGGGUACGGCCCAGACUCCGACGGGGGGCCGGAGUGGGGAAUAUUGCACAAGGGGCGCAAGCCUGAUGCAGCGACGCCGCGGGAGGGAUGAGGGCCUUCGGGUUGUAAACCUCUUUCAGCACCGACGAAGCGCAAGUGACGGUAGGUGCAGAAGAAGGACCGGCCAACUACGUGCCAGCCGCCGCGGUAA